rnacentral:hammerhead_ribozyme from 1 species
GCACUGAUGAAGAGUCCCAAGUACCAGGACGAAACAGCUGUCCAGUAC